rnacentral:lncRNA from 1 species
AUGUUCCUCUUGGUCAAAAACGCACCAAGUCGUCUCCAAGUUUGAAGCAUUCAGCAAACAAUGGCAAGGCAGAGCCACCGGAAACGUACACCUGAUUUUCAUGAUAAAUAUGGUAGUGCUGUAUUAGCUAGUGGAACCACUUUCUGUAUUGCUAUAUGGACAUAGGUAGCAACACAAAUCAGAAUAGAAUGGAACCUGUCCCCUGUUGGCAGGGUCACCCCAAAGGAAUGGAGAGAUC